GACGAACGCUGGCGGCGUGCUUAACACAUUCAAGUCGAACGGAAAGGCCCUGCUUUUGUGGGGUGCUCGAGUGGCGAACGGGUGAGUAACACGUGAGUAACCUGCCCUUGACUUUGGGAUAACUUCAGGAAACUGGGGCUAAUACCGGAUAGGAGCUCCUGCUGCAUGGUGGGGGUUGGAAAGUUUCGGCGGUUGGGGAUGGACUCGCGGCUUAUCAGCUUGUUGGUGGGGUAGUGGCUUACCAAGGCUUUGACGGGUAGCCGGCCUGAGAGGGUGACCGGCCACAUUGGGACUGAGAUACGGCCCAGAAUCCUACGGGAGGCAGCAGUGGGGAAUAUUGCACAAUGGGCGGAAGCCUGAUGCAGCAACGCCGCGUGCGGGAUGACGGCCUUCGGGUUGUAAACCGCUUUCGCCUGUGACGAAGCGUGAGUGACGGUAAUGGGUAAAGAAGCACCGGCUAACUACGUG
rnacentral:rRNA from 1 species